ensembl:lncRNA
GGUGCUCCAGCCACUGGGAACGUGGCACUGGUCACACCUGCGGCCUAUCUGGUAAUCAGAGCAGACCCUAGAUAAGGAGAGGAGAAGAGACCGGACGGGAGCAGACGUCGGAGAGGAGGAGACGCCACAUAUUUCAGUUUGGAAGCCGGUUGGAAGAGCCGUAGUUUUUGACCUUUGUUAUUAAAAGGACCCUUUUUGUUUGCAUUUGCUGUCUGAGUUUCUUAUUUUACGCCCGAAUCUGGCCUCACUCCCCCUGGGUUACCACAAUAGCGUUUAAAACACAUGUGCCAUCCGGAUGUAUGUUUUGGCUACUAGUACUGUAAAGUGUCCUUAAGGGAGGGAUGUGAAAAAAACACAACUUACCAAAUAAGAAACCAACUUUCCAUAAUCGGAAUGAAGUAGACAAUGCGUAAAAAUUUACAUCGCACAAUGAUUGGUCUUAUUUGGUUGGUUUUUACAUUUUGCAUCCAUUGAGCUCUAUAGAAAAUACAUACAUAUUUGUUAUUGAUUGAUAAAAAAUAAAGCUCGUCGUUGUUUUUAUUUAACAAAGUCGUGCACUUUGGGAGUCAUCGUUUACACCAAGAAGAGGACAAUUCUUUUGACUUUUAAUUUCAAAGAAAUGUUGCAAACCAAUCAUCAAUCAGCAGUUUGAUUUCAACACUUAUCACCUAUAUUGCAGCUAUUCUUACCUGUCACACCAUUGUUACAGUGUGAGACACGGCUCUGUUAACCGGUGGCCAGCGCCGUGCUGCAGGGAGACGGAUAACAUAACUGGGCUUCGAUGGCUAGCGAGAUAAAAGUAGUAGCAAUUUAAAACUCCAUUCUUUGGCCUGAAUUCACAAGCAAAUUUGGUCUAAUCUCCACUAAUGUGUCAGGCUUUUGUAAUCCUCCUUUACAUAGCAAAGCACUGAUUGACAUAAAGUUAUUUUAUUAUCUUUCCUGACAGCUUCAAAAUCCCUCCUCCCCUCUUUCAGUCUGUUUGCGCUGCUCUGAAACACAACAUGGAUGUCGCUAACCGACAUUUGCAUAAUUCCACCAUAUGUCACUAUUAAGAAGUAAUCUUCUAGUUUCAGGCCUGAUCGAAUUGCUGAAUGAUUGACAUCUCUGAUUAGAGGAGCUUGCUAUAAUUUUGUUUUCUAUUGCCUUCUGGAUGAAAUAAAGAAAAUUGCGGGAGGAACAAUGAUAUAUUCAGCGACUGCUGCUGAUUGGAUUGAUAUAAUGGCUUUUGAUUGCCAUAUAGUUGUCUGACCGUAUAUGCAGCAUGCUGGUAACGCCAUUCAAACUGAAGUGCAUAUUCAUUAUAUGCCAUUGUUCAGAUUCCAUGUUGUUUCAUAAAAUCCCAC